rnacentral:rRNA from 1 species
AGAGUUUGAUCCUGGCUCAGGAUGAACGCUAGCGACAGGCUUAACACAUGCAAGUCGAGGGGCAGCGGGGGCGUAGCAAUAUGCCUGCCGGCGACCGGCGCACGGGUGAGUAACACGUAUGUAACCUGCCCUAUGCAGGGGGAUAACCCGGAGAAAUCCGGCCUAAUACCGCGUAACACCUUUGGGGAGCAUUCCCUUGGGGUUAAAGGAGAGAUCCGGCAUAGGAUGGACAUGCGUCGCAUUAGGUAGACGGCGGGGUAACGGCCCACCGUGCCGACGAUGCGUAGGGGUUCUGAGAGGAAGGCCCCCCACACUGGUACUGAGACACGGACCAGACUCCUACGGGAGGCAGCAGUGAGGAAUAUUGGUCAAUGGCCGAGAGGCUGAACCAGCCAAGUCGCGUGAGGGAAGAAUGUCCUAAGGAUUGUAAACCUCUUUUGUCGGGGAGCAAAAAGGCUCUGCGGAGUCGUAUUGAGAGUACCCGAAGAAAAAGCAUCGGCUAACUCCGUGCCAGCAGCCGCGGUAAUACGGAGGAUGCGAGCGUUAUCCGGAUUUAUUGGGUUUAAAGGGUGCGCAGGCGGCGUGUCAAGCAAGCGGUAAAAUAGCGGGGCUCAACCCCGUCGAGCCGUUUGAACUGGCGCGCUUGAGUUCAGGCGAGGUAGGCGGAAUUCGUGGUGUAGCGGUGAAAUGCAUAGAUAUCACGAAGAACUCCGAUUGCGAAGGCAGCUUACCAGUCUGCGACUGACGCUCAGGCACGAAAGGGUGGGUAUCGAACAGGAUUAGAUACCCUGGUAGUCCACGCAGUAAACGAUGAAUGCUGGCUGUCCGGGGGGACUGACCCCUGGGUGGCGAAGCGAAAGCGAUAAGCAUUCCACCUGGGGAGUACGCCGGCAACGGUGAAACUCAAAGGAAUUGACGGGGGCCCGCACAAGCGGAGGAACAUGUGGUUUAAUUCGAUGAUACGCGAGGAACCUUACCCGGGCUCAAACGGGGAGUGCCGCAGGCAGAGACGCCUGUUUCCCACGGGACACUCCCCGAGGUGCUGCAUGGUUGUCGUCAGCUCGUGCCGUGAGGUGUCGGCUUAAGUGCCAUAACGAGCGCAACCCCCGCGUGCAGUUGCUAACAGAUAACGCUGAGGACUCUGCACGGACUGCCGGCGCAAGCCGCGAGGAAGGCGGGGAUGACGUCAAAUCAGCACGGCCCUUACGUCCGGGGCGACACACGUGUUACAAUGGGUGGUACAGCGGGAAGCCAGGCGGCGACGCCGAGCGGAACCCGAAAUCCACUCUCAGUUCGGAUCGGAGUCUGCAACCCGACUCCGUGAAGCUGGAUUCGCUAGUAAUCGCGCAUCAGCCAUGGCGCGGUGAAUACGUUCCCGGGCCUUGCACUCACCGCCCGUCA